UGAGGAAUAUUGGUCAAUGGGCGGGAGCCUGAACCAGCCAAGCCGCGUGAGGGAAGAAGGCCCUAUGGGUCGUAAACCUCUUUUGUCAGGGAACAAAAGCGAGUAUGUAUACUGGUCUGAGUGUACCUGAAGAAAAACGCAUCGGCUAACUCCGUGCCAGCAGCCGCGGUAAUACGGAGGAUGCGAGCGUUAUCCGGAUUUAUUGGGUUUAAAGGGUGCGUAGGCGGCGGUGCAAGUCAGCGGUAAAAGCCCGGGGCUCAACCCCGGCGAGCCGUUGAAACUGCAGUGCUAGAGAAGGCGAGAGGUACGCGGAAUGCGCAGUGUAGCGGUGAAAUGCUUAGAUAUUGCGCAGAACUCCGAUUGCGAAGGCAGCGUACUGGCGCCUGACUGACGCUGAGGCACGAAAGCGUGGGGAGCAAACAGGAUUAGAUACCCC
rnacentral:rRNA from 1 species